rnacentral:ncRNA from 12 species
ACCUUAUACAAAUGUAUUAACUGCAAGACAAGUUAGCAUUUCCCUAUAAGGUGGUUUUAGUUAGAAGCCUUAACGAUAAUUAGUAUUGUAUGGCAUGUUGUUGAAAUACUAUGAGUUAAGGUGAAAUAGGUUAACCGUGAGACCUUAAGUUGAAAAACUUUAAAAUUGAACUAAUGUAUUUAGUUACGGUUCG